AGGACACGCUGGCGGCGUGCUUAAUACAUGCAAGUCGAACGGAAGUAGCAAUACUUUAGUGGCGCACGGGUGAGGAACACGUAGAUGAUCUGCCCUUGAGAUCGAGAUAACCCCGGGAAACUGGGGCUAAUACCGGAUAAUGCAUUAUUAUUGGAUUAAUAAUGUUAAAGCGGCGCAAGUCGCACUUGAGGAUGAGUCUGCGACCUAUCAGCUAGUUGGCGGUGUAAUGGACCACCAAGGCAAAGACGGGUAGCUGAUCUGAGAGGAUGAUCAGCCACACUGGGACUGAGACACGGCCCAGACUCCUACGGGAGGCAGCAGUAGGGAAUAUUGCGCAAUGGGGGAAACCCUGACGCAGCGACGCCGCGUGAGUGAUGAAGGCCUUUCUGGUUGUAAAGCUCUGUAAGGAGGGAAGAAUGUCAGGCAGUAACGUGUCUGAGUGACGGUACCUCCGGAGUAAGGACCGGCUAAAUACGUG
rnacentral:rRNA from 1 species